rnacentral:rRNA from 1 species
GACGAACGCUGGCGGCGUGCUUAACACAUGCAAGUCGAACGAUGAUGCCCAGCUUGCUGGGUGGAUUAGUGGCGAACGGGUGAGUAACACGUGAGUAACCUGCCCCUGACUCUGGGAUAAGCGUUGGAAACGACGUCUAAUACUGGAUAUGACUGCCGGCCGCAUGGUCUGGUGGUGGAAAGAUUUUUUGGUUGGGGAUGGACUCGCGGCCUAUCAGCUUGUUGGUGAGGUAAUGGCUCACCAAGGCGACGACGGGUAGCCGGCCUGAGAGGGGGACCGGCCACACUGGUACUGAGACACGGCCCAGACUCCUACGGGAGGCAGCAGUGGGGAAUAUUGCACAAUGGGCGAAAGCCUGAUGCAGCAACGCCGCGUGAGGGAUGACGGCCUUCGGGUUGUAAACCUCUUUUAGUAGGGAAGAAGCGAAAGUGACGGUACCUGCAGAAAAAGCACCGGCUAACUACGUGCCAGCAGCCGCGGUAA